GGCCAUGUGGCGGAAUAGGCAGACGCGCCAGACUCAGAAUCUGGUAUCGGUUUCGAUGUGAGGGUUCAAGUCCCUUCGUGGCCA
rnacentral:tRNA from 1 species